rnacentral:rRNA from 1 species
GACGAACGCUGGCGGCGUGCUUAACACAUGCAAGUCGAACGAAGAGCGAUGGAAGCUUGCUUCUAUCAAUCUUAGUGGCGAACGGGUGAGUAACGCGUAAUCAACCUGCCCUUCAGAGGGGGACAACAGUUGGAAACGACUGCUAAUACCGCAUACGAUCUAAUCUCGGCAUCGAGGAUAGAUGAAAGGUGGCCUCUACAUGUAAGCUAUCACUGAAGGAGGGGAUUGCGUCUGAUUAGCUAGUUGGAGGGGUAACGGCCCACCAAGGCGAUGAUCAGUAGCCGGUCUGAGAGGAUGAACGGCCACAGUGGGACUGAGACACGGCCCAGACUCCUACGGGAGGCAGCAGUGGGGAAUCUUCCGCAAUGGACGAAAGGCUGACGGAGCAACGCCGCGUGAGGGAUGACGGCCUUCGGGUUGUAAAGCUCUGUUAAUCGGGACGAAAGGCCUUCUUGCGAAUAGUGAGAAGGAUUGACGGUACCGGAAUAGAAAGCCACGGCUAACUACGUG